CCUCUCUUCCUCUCUUCAACUCUUCAACUCUCCUUCCUCUCUUCCUCUUUCCAACGUGCCAAGUCCAUGGUUGUAACAUGGAUCUUCAACUCUCAUUCCUCCGGAUUUCUUUAACAGUAUAUGUUAUGUAAUUGGUGUUUGGGAAAGCUUGAGUUUGAGGACUUGAAGAGAAGAAGUGUGUGCAAAGGCAUGAAGUGAUGAAACCUUGAAGGUUUAUUUGAUUUUUUUGUGUUGGAAGACUUGAAGUGUGAUUGUGUGGAAGACUUGAAUUGUGAUUGUGUUAGAGAUGUUAAAUUUUCAAGUUUCAAAUUUUUUAAUUUUUUUGGGAAAAAAAACCGAAA